rnacentral:rRNA from 1 species
GCAAUCUGUGUGACUGCGUACCUUUUGUAUAAUGGGUCAGCGACUUAUAUUCUGUAGCAAGGUUAACCGAAUAGGGGAGCCGAAGGGAAACCGAGUCUUAACUGGGCGUUAAGUUGCAGGGUAUAGACCCGAAACCCGGUGAUCUAGCCAUGGGCAGGUUGAAGGUUGGGUAACACUAACUGGAGGACCGAACCGACUAAUGUUGAAAAAUUAGCGGAUGACUUGUGGCUGGGGGUGAAAGGCCAAUCAAACCGGGAGAUAGCUGGUUCUCCCCGAAAGCUAUUUAGGUAGCGCCUCGUGAAUUCAUCUCCGGGGGUAGAGCACUGUUUCGGCAAGGGGGUCAUCCCGACUUACCAACCCGAUGCAAACUGCGAAUACCGGAGAAUGUUAUCACGGGAGACACACGGCGGGUGCUAACGUCCGUCGUGAAGAGGGAAACAACCCAGACCGCCAGCUAAGGUCCCAAAGUCAUGGUUAAGUGGGAAACGAUGUGGGAAGGCCCAGACAGCCAGGAUGUUGGCUUAGAAGCAGCCAUCAUUUAAAGAAAGCGUAAUAGCUCACUGGUCGAGUCGGCCUGCGCG